AGGAAUUUAGGUUAAAAUAGACCAAAAGCCUUCAAAGCUUUAAGUAGAACAUAACAGAUCUAAUUCCUG
rnacentral:tRNA from 1 species